rnacentral:rRNA from 1 species
UACGAAGGGGGCUAGCGUUGUUCGGAAUUACUGGGCGUAAAGCGCACGUAGGCGGUGUUCUUUGUCAGAGGUGAAAGCCCGGGGCUCAACUCCGGAAUUGCCUUUGAAACGGGAACGCUAGAGUCCGAGAGAGGAUGGCGGAAUUCCUGGUGUAGAGGUGAAAUUCGUAGAUAUUAGGAAGAACACCAAUGGCGAAGGCGGCCAUCUGGCUCGGUACUGACGCUCAGGUGCGAAAGCGUGGGGAGCAAACAGG